rnacentral:lncRNA from 1 species
AGAACUACACAUCUACACUUGAUAGCAACUGGUUCCUCAAUGAAGAAGUCUUGUGCAUUGGAUUCUUGAGGCGACUUUUGCAGAGAAAGAUAUCAAUUUUAGGAUAUGCAAAAACUAGGUUUUCCUUUUGUCACAUCUUGCUUAUAUAUAGAGAGAAGUAAAAACCAAGGAGCCAUGCUAUUGGACAACAAGGGACAGGACUGCUGCAAAGCCACCAAUCAACUGCAGAAAGUACAGUUUACAGCUGUACAGAGAUG